AAUCUUCCGCAAUGGACGCAAGUCUGACGGAGCAACGCCGCGUGAGUGAUUAUGUUUUUCGUAUCGUAAAACUCUGUUGUUAGAGAAUAACACGUACCGUUUGAAUAAGGCGGUACCUUGACGGUACCUAACGAGAAAGCCCCGACUAACUACCUUCCAGCAGCCGCGGUAAUACGUAGGGGGCAAGCGUUGUCCGGAAUUAUUGGGCGUAAAGCGCGCGCAGGCGGUCUUUUAAGUCUGAUGUGAAAGCCCACGGCUCAACCGUGGAGGGUCAUUGGAAACUGGGAGACUUGAGUGUAGGAGAGGAAAGUGGAAUUCCACGUGUAGCGGUGAAAUGCGUAGAGAUGUGGAGGAACACCAGUGGCGAAGGCGACUUUCUGGCCUAUAACUGACGCUGAGGAACGAAAGCGUGGGGAGCAAACAG
rnacentral:rRNA from 1 species